rnacentral:lncRNA from 1 species
GGGCAGGCUUUUAUGUCUUAUUACUUUGGUCAGAUAAGAAGUAGCCAAGUUUUUUUUGGAAAGCUUUUGUUUUCCAGAAUACAAGGACAUACAGCAGACAGUAGGAGCUAAGGCAUGCAGAAAGCAGCAGCCAGGAUGGGAAGAUGUAAUGUCCUUGAUGAAACAACAUCCACUUGCUUUGGUUUUCAGAACGAACAACCUACAAUGCUGUGUCCACGAGGAAGAGGAAGGAAGGACCCUGUCCAUUGUUCUGAGGGUUUUCAGGAGAUUGCUGGCUACUUUUCCAAAUUGCGGGGCUGUAGUCAGAGUCGAGGGACGAAGGAAGAUAUUUCAAAGACCUGAGCAACAGUCUGAAGAGAACAUCUCUGUAACAACGGCAAGGUAGGAGCUCCAGAGAUAGAGGCUAAUACUGAGCGCAGACCUAAUGGAAAUGAGGGUUUAAAUAUCCCAGAAGUGGAGAGUUUGGUAAUUAGUGUGGUGUCGUGAUUGGAUAAUUGAUCAGUGUGCUGGCGCUUUCUGGAAUUACCCAUAGCUGUGGUUGGUUUAACAAAGGGCCGUUAAUGGUUGUUGAUGGACGUGACGGUUACAAAAACACCAACGCCAAUCGGCCUGAACAACACUCUGAGAUCACACAAGGAUAUACAAUAAUAAUCAUCAUCAUUCAUGAGGAACUUUUUACUGAACGUUGCCCACAGUGGGUAGAGGGGUGAAUGUGCAGUUGAGCCACAGACAUGUGACCUUAGUUUUGCAUUUCAUCUGUGGGGAGAGGACGAGAUGGUUUCAUGUCAAGAUAGCACACAUGCCAAGCCAUGUCAGGCAUUUUCCGGCACAUUGUAAUUUAUUAAUCUGGGCCAUUUAUGUAAGACAAGCUCUAUUCCCAGGAAUUUGAAUCCCAACAGAGUCAGGAAUGGGGAAGAGAACAGCUCAGGGAGAAGCAGUCGUUGCUGGACAGGUGCAGAUAAGGACAAGAGUCUUAACUGGUUGCAGACAAAGAUACUGCAGGUAGUCGGGAGAGCGAGAUUAAUUUAAUGAUAAUUUGCAAAUACCUUUCCAAAAAAACUGGAAUAUAAACCUAAAAGACAGUGUUUUUUUAUCUUUGCACUUUAAAUAAGAUCAGUGAUUUUGUUUUUGCCAAAGAAGGAAUUUCUUAUUUUAAGUUUUUUUAUGCCCUGGGCGGCAAUGGCUAAUUACCUAGUGCCUAUGCAUUUUCCUCCCCAUACGCCUGUAAUCUCUUGUGACAUCUUCAAGGAUGAACUUAGUUCCAGUAUGUCACAUUUCAGUUUAAAUUAAAUCAGUAUUACAUUUAGCAGGAAAGUCACCUCUCAUCUGGAUUCCAAAUGGUUCCUUCCCAUAUGGUUCUAAUGACUUUUUUCUUUUUCAUUUCCCAUCCUAGAAGCUGAUGCUAGAAGGCAGCACUUCUCAAAGCAAAGCAGCACCCCUGCUUGAUUUAAAAGGGUCCUACUUCAGCAGGGAAGCCCGAAUAGUCUUUGAGCUGCAGAAAGCACAUUAAACAGACUUAUCCUUCACAGUUACAGCCUAAACCACAGGGGGAUUAAGAAAUGAAUUCACCAUUGCAUUUGUGUGCGAUCUCUUCGAGUGAAUAUUAAUCCAUUAAUGAGGAGGCUUGAGCAAAUGUAGGUAAAGUCAUCAUUUAGGAAGUGAACACAUCAUUAUUUUGUCAUUUUGUCUUAAUAGUAAAUUCAGCCUAUAGAGGACAGCAAUCUUGUCAACCUGACUGCCUUGAAGCAGCUGUCACUGCCAACUUAAGGUCAUUUGUCUCAUGAAACAGAUGGUGUUAGAUCACUAACCUGGGACUGUUCUGUCAGUGAGACAGAAUUUCAGCACUGCACUGUAUCAGGAGUAGUUCAGCAUGUUCAUCUCUUUAGCAAGUACUGAAAGGCAAAGACAUGAAGAACCUGUAUAGCCCCUAUUUCAUCUGAUUUUUAAGUUAUGUUACCAAUAAAACUCUCUGAAAGCAUUCGUUUUUAAAAUACCUAUGUACUGUAUUUUUUAUUCUUGAGAGAGAAGACUACGAGGGGAUCUGAGUCUAGUAUUCGUAAUCCUUACAGGCACUGACAGAGUCACCACAAUGGUCCUCUUCAGAUUCGACAAUGCAUGAACUGAACGGCACAGCUGGAAACUGUUCACCGUGGAAAACAGGAGGCACCUUUUUACACAAAGAUUUGAGGAAG